GAUGAACGCUGGCGGCGUGCCUAAUACAUGCAAGUCGAGCGAACGGACGAGAAGCUUGCUUCUCUGAUGUUAGCGGCGGACGGGUGAGUAACACGUGGAUAACCUACCUAUAAGACUGGGAUAACUUCGGGAAACCGGAGCUAAUACCGGAUAAUAUUUUGAACCGCAUUGUUCACAAGUGAAAGACGGUCUUGCUGUCACUUAUAGAUGGAUCCGCGCUGCAUUAGCUAGUUGUUAAGGUCACGGCUUACCAAGGCAACGAUGCAUAGCCGACCUGGGAGGGUGAUAGACCACACUGGAACUGGAACACGGUCCAGACUCCUACGGUAGGCAGCAGUAGGGAAUCUUCCGCAAUGGGCGAAAGCCUUACGGAGCAACGCCGCGUGAGUGAUGAAGGUCUUCGGAUCGUAAAACUCUGUUAUUAGGGAAGAACAGAUUUGUAAGUAACUGUGCACAUCUUGACGGUACCUAAUCAGAAAGCCACGGCUAACUACGUG
rnacentral:rRNA from 1 species